rnacentral:rRNA from 1 species
GACAGAGGGGCCGAGCGUUAGGCGGAAUCACUGGGCUUAAAGCGUGUGUAGGCGGACCCGUAAGUACCUUGUGAAAUCCCACGGCUCAACCGUGGAACGGCUGGGUAUACUGCGGGUCUUGAGCGACCUAGGGGCAGACGGAACAAGUGGUGGAGCGGUGAAAUGCGUAGAUAUCACUUGGAACGCCGACGGUGAAAACAGUCUGCUGGGGGUCCGCUGACGCUGAGACGCGAAAGCCAGGGGAGCGAACGGG